rnacentral:rRNA from 1 species
UACGUAGGGUGCAAGCGUUAAUCGGAAUUACUGGGCGUAAAGCGUGCGUAGGCGGUUCGUUAUGUCUGCUGUGAAAGCCCCGGGCUUAACCUGGGAAUGGCAGUGGAAACUGGCGGGCUUGAGUGUGGCAGAGGGGGGUGGAAUUCCGCGUGUAGCAGUGAAAUGCGUAGAGAUGCGGAGGAACACCGAUGGCGAAGGCAGCCCCCUGGGCUGACACUGAUGCUGAGGCACGAAAGCGUGGGGAGCAAACGGG